GACGAACGCUGGCGGCGUGCCUAACACAUGCAAGUCGAGCGGAGAUUGCAGAGAUGUGAUUUUAGCGGCGGACGGGUGAGUAACGCGUGGGCAACCUGCCCUGUACAGGGGGAUAACGCCGGGAAACUGGCGCUAAUACCGCAUGACAUAUAUAUAUGGCAUCAUAUGUAUAUCAAAGGAGGAAUCCGGUAUGGGAUGGGCCCGCGUCCGAUUAGCCAGUUGGUGGGGUAACGGCCUACCAAAGCGACGAUCGGUAGCCGAACUGAGAGGUUGGACGGCCACAUUGGGACUGAGACACGGCCCAGACUCCUACGGGAGGCAG
rnacentral:rRNA from 1 species